GCCAACUGGAACGUAAUACAAAGCGCUUGGCAGAUGUCGUCUCAGAUGCUUCAAAUUUUCGGUAAUUCAUUGUGAUAAACUUUGUAAGCUUUGCUUCAGUACAACUAAUUUUAAAAUCUUAUAUAGUGCUAUAGAUUUCAUGGUAAGGUUUCUUUGCUUUUCAUGAUUGAAGGUCGACAAGACUCAAAGCAUGAUAUCUGAGUUUCUUAGAAAAUGUCUUUGCUUAUGUGAACGCUAAUGAUGUGCUUGAAGAGAUUUUGAGAUCAAAUUGCUGGUUUUAACUAAUGGAUGCUAAUUUUAUGAAAGUUACUUUCAAAUGAAAAGAGGGAAGCUUUAGCAGGAAUCUUUCUACUCCCUCAUGGAGAGUUUGUAUCUGGCUGGUGAUCGUCUAACGUUCUAGUUUGUGAAGAGGAUGCACCAUUAGAGUAUGUAUUAUCUACAUCAUCUCAAUAAUUCUUAUUUCACCAAAUUAGUCAGUUACAACUAUUGCAUGGUGUCAAUGUAUAUGGACACAUAAAUUUGAAUUCACCCCUUGCAGUUUACCUCGUUCAUCUUAUGCUCAUCAGAAAACGUCUUUUUUGAUUAAAAUGAUUGCAAACCUUCAUUGCUUUGUUCCUGAUGUAUACCAGGGGUAAAUGAUUUAGUAAUUUUCGGUUUCAAUCGGGGUAUGCUGCUUGAUAGUAAUAUUUAACAACUAAUAACAUUUGUUUCAAUCUCAGAUGAGAAAGAUCUGUUUCUCAACAUGCUCAUUCGGUUCAUAGAAAAGGACUAUCAGAAACUGUCAGCAUUUUGGUAUGCGAGAAGGUACUAGGUUUCCCAGCAGGUGGGAAAUCCGAACUUUUAUUAUAGUCGUCAAAUCCUGGGUCUUGUGGAUGUGCUUAUUUGUCUUGCUUGCUUGAUGGCGAGCAAGACUUCUGUUUGGGGUAUUUUACGUGUGUGGGCAAUUUAACUGGUUAUUAUACAAUGGAUGGAAUGGAGGGUAGCGUACUACUGCUCUGGUUCAAUUUUGACCACUUCACUAUUUAUUCCAGCGAGUUGAAGGGUAUAAAGCUGCAAUCAAUAUUUGCUUCAAUAUUCAAACAUUUUUUUAAUAAACUAACUUUAGUUCGAUAUUUAGUGUGUCAUUUCAUACUUAAGCCAUCAAUGAAGAACUACUACAAAAUCAUUCUGAUGCUCUACACUUGUCGGUACCUGAUAAAAUUGGGGUUGGAUCUUUGUCUAGUUCUGAGGAACACUAUAUCUUCACGAUACCAGGAUGACGCGUGGAAAGACUUUAUGUUUGAGGCAGACUACAGAGCAAUCAUGCUGCGUUUGAGGCUACUGAGAUAAUUCAGCAUAUUCUAGUGUUACUCGUAGUCUAUUUGAAGGCCUCUCUAAGCAUUUAGAUUCAUUCUUGCAAAUGUUAUCUCUUGUGCUGCUAAGUUGUUUUCUGUGAUUGUUCCUAGUGCAUAAAUAGACUAGAUAGUACUUAGUCAAUCUGAAGGUCGAGGGUAGUAGGGGCCGACUGAGUUCUUAACUUAAAAG